GAUGAACGCUGGCGGCGUGCCUAAUACAUGCAAGUCGAGCGAACGGACGAGAAGCUUGCUUCUCUGAUGUUAGCGGCGGACGGGUGAGUAACACGUGGAUAACCUACCUAUAAGACUGGGAUAACUUCGGGAAACCGUAGCUAAUACCGGAUAAUAUUUUGAACCGCAUGGUUCAAAAGUGAAAGACGGUCUUGCUGUCACUUAUAGAUGGAUCCGCGCUGCAUUAGCUAGUUGGUAAGGUAACGGCUUACCAAGGCAACGAUGCAUAGCCGACCUGAGAGGGGUGUCGGGCACCCUGGAACCGAGACACGGGUCAAACUCCCACCGGGAGCAACAGUAGGGAAUCUUCCGGCAUGGGGGAAAGCCUGGCGGAGCAACCCCGCGUGAGUGAUGAAGGUUUUCCGAUCGUAAAACCCUGUUAAUAGGGAAGAAAAUAUGUGUAAGUAACUGGGCACAUCUUGACGGUACCUAAUCAGAAAGCCACGGCUAACUACGUG
rnacentral:rRNA from 1 species